rnacentral:rRNA from 1 species
AGUGAACGCUGGCGGUAGGCCUAACACAUGCAAGUCGAGCGGAAGCACAGUAAGAGCUUGCUCUUGCGGGUGGCGAGUGGCGGGCGGGUGAGGAAUGCAUCGGAUUCUUAUUUUUCGUGGGGGAUAACGUAGAAAAACUUACGCUACUACCGCAUACGACCUACGGGAGAGAGCAGGGGAGCUUCACACCUUGCGCGUUAGUAUUAGCCGAUGCCGCAUUAGCUAGUUGGCGGGGUAAGGGCCCACCAAGGCGACGAUCCGUAGCUGGUCUGAGAGGAUGAUCAGCCACACUGGAACUGAGACACGGUCCAGACUCCUACGGGAGGCAGCAGUAGGGAAUAUUGGACAAUGGGCGCAAGCCUGAUCGAGCCAUGCCGCGUGAGUGAAGAAGGUCUUCGGGUUGUAAAGCCCUUUUAUUAGGGAAGAACAGCUGCAUAAUAAAAUCUCGCUGUCCUGACGGUACCUAAAGAGUAAGCACCGGCUAACUUCGUG